rnacentral:rRNA from 1 species
GUGUCAGCAGCCGCGGUAAUACGUAGGAGGCGAGCGUUAUCCGGAUUUACUGGGUGUAAAGCGCGUGCAGGCGGAUCGGUAAGUUGGAUGUGAAAGCUCCCGGCUUAACUGGGAGAGGUCGUUCAAAACUACCGGUCUUGAGUACAGUAGAGGAAAGUGGAAUUCCGGGUGUAGGGGUGAAAUGCGUAGAUAUCCGGAGGAACACCAGUGGCGAAAGCGCCUUUCUGGACUGUAACUGACGCUGAGACGCGAAA